AGCGAACGCUGGCGGCAGGCUUAACACAUGCAAGUCGAGCGGGCACUUCGGUGUCAGCGGCAGACGGGUGAGUAACACGUGGGAACGUACCCUUUGGUUCGGAAUAACGCUGGGAAACUAGCGCUAAUACCGGAUACGCCCUUUUGGGGAAAGGCUUGCUGCCGAAGGAUCGGCCCGCGUCCGAUUAGCUAGUUGGUGGGGUAAUGGCCUACCAAGGCGACGAUCAGUAGCUGGUCUGAGAGGAUGAUCAGCCACACUGGGACUGAGACACGGCCCAGACUCCUACGGGAGGCGGCAGUGGGGAAUAUUGGACAAUGGGCGCAAGCCUGAUCCAGCCAUGCCGCGUGAGUGAUGAAGGCCUUAGGGUUGUAAAGCUCUUUUGUCCGGGACGAUAAUGACGGUACCGGAAGAAUAAGCCCCGGCUAACUUCGUG
rnacentral:rRNA from 1 species